GAAAUACAUCAACUUCAGCAAAAUCAUUUCCUAUUCCUAAAGGUGCCACAUUAUUCAGGACAGGGCAGAGAGAGAACAAGCAAGAUGGAAAAGAUCUCGAACUGAGGCUGGAGGCCAGAAGCAGAAGGUCAGCUACUCAUGGUCCCAGAUGGCUGUGCAGCCCCAGGCUCCCAGUGUCAGGAAAGGAAGAUAAGGGCCCAGGUCCUGCUCUAAAGAAGAUCUGGAUGCCACCCAGCAGGCAGGUCCUUCCUACAAGCUCCACUUCUGGGAUGCCAUGCCCUGAGCUUCCUGUAAGCUCCACUUCCGUGAUGACCCUGUGCCGUGAUGCCCUGCCUUGGAGCCAGCUGACUAUGGACUGAACCUCUCCAAACUGUGAGCCAGAAUGAACCUCUCCUCCUUUAACUUGUGGGUGUUGGGUACUGCAUCCCAGCGGUGAGGACAGUGACUUUGGUAUCAGGGUGUGGAGCAAUGAAGAUGUAGCUGUGUCCACAGGUAGCACUAGGAAGCUGGGAGGGAAAUCGGGAUGCUUGCACAAGAAGCCC
ensembl:lncRNA